CGAAUCUUCACAGCCGGCUCAAAAAGAGAUCUCAUCCUUCCAGUUUUACAUAUUUGUGGGUCCUAGCAUGAUAUUCCUCUGCACUAUAAGUUAUUGAAACACUUAAACACCUUACAAUAGGUGAAUCCAUGCUUUGCCAUACAAUUAAUUCCUUUCCCUUUUUCUUAAGACAAGUACAAGAUUCUCUUUUUGAGUCAAGGGUCUAGCGGAAACAACCUCUCUACCUCAAAAAGGCGGUAAGGUAAAAAUACGAGGUGGUCAUUUCUUUUUCAUUUGUUUAAAUCUUGGUGGACAGAGUUACUCGAUACAUGUACUAAUGAGAGAUAGUAGAUUUAUCAUAAAAUUAGUUGAGAUGCAUAUUACAAUUUAUUAUUUUUUUCAAAAAAUACGACAUUGAAAUUAAAAACACUUGAGGCACGUCAA